AUAUAUGCACACAUGUUUUUUAUCCAGUCUUCCACUGAUGGACACUUAAGCGUUUCUGUAUCUUGGCUAUUAUAAAUAAUGCUGCAGUAAACAUUUUUUUUCAAGUUAGUGUCUUCAUUUUCUUCAGAAAAAUAUCCAGAAAUGGAAUUGCUGGAUCACAUAGUAGUUCUAUUUUUAAUUUUUCAAGAAACCCCAUUCUGGUUUCUGUAGUGGAUGCACCAAUUCACAUUUCCACCAACAGUGCACAAGGGUUUCCUUUUCUCCAUAUCCUCACCAAUACUUGUUAUUUCUUAUCUUUUUGAUAACAGCCAUUCCAAUAGGUGCAAGAUGAUGUGUCAUUGUUAUUUUUAUUUGUGUUUUCCUGAUGAUUAAUGAUGUUGAGUCAAAUGUCCGAUCUCUCAAUUCGAGAAGUGCCUUGUCUGGCAAGGCUUGGCUUGACAACAUUUUGUGAGUUGUUAAUUUUUGUGUUGUUGUAAAAUAAGGUAACUCCUUGAUCUGGCAACCCAAUAACCUGAGCGUGGACUAUCAAUCAACACAUAUGCUAUAAGGACAAAAGCAGGCAAAGCCAUCUGUAGUGAGAGGGAACUAUUCCCAGAUCAACAAAACCUGACUAGAACUUGAUUUAAGCUAUUAAUAUAUCUGAAGGGGAAAAUAUCCUUCAUAGGAAGAGAUGGUUGGCCAUGGGAGCAAGGAAAAGGGAACUUCUCAGAGGCCAAUGGAGGCAGUGUCAUUCAAGUCCCAAUUAGAAGUUGCCCAAGCCCAUGGACACAGUCUGUCCUGUCCUGGAGGGGUAGAUACAGCAGAGGCUGAUGCUGUCCAGUGUCUGGGUCAUAGAGCUAACUCCCAAGGUCUAAUUCCACGUUUGCCAGGUUAUCUUCCUCCUAAUUAUAAUUUGGGUUCCUUUGCAGAUUUUACCUAUAGGGAAUAAAGCCUGGCCAGAUCACUCCAGUAUCUUGGCAGAAAUAUUUAUUGUUAUAAAUAAUUGGCUAUUUCACACUGUGAAACUAUUGAUUCAUUUCAUAUUGUGAAAUGAACGAUUUCAUUCUGUGAAUAAAUUUUAAUGUAUA